GGGAGGGUGCAGGAAGGUGUGUGGGACUCCGUGCCCCCGGGACGGGCUGGUGCAGGAUCCCAUUCCCAGCGCUCCGGGCCCGCGGGAUGCGGGGGGCUCCACUGGGAUCCCAUCUCCAGCGCUUCGGGCCCGGGGGAUGAGCGGGACUCCAUCGGGAUCCCACCGCCAGCGCUCCGGGCCCGGGGGAUGAGCGGGACUCCAUCGGGAUCGCAUCGCCAGCGCUCCGGGCCCGGGGGAUGAGCGGGACUCCAUCGGGAUCCCAUUGCCAGCGCUCCUGCCCCGCGGGAUGAACAGAACUUCAUCUCCCGGCGCUCCCCAGCGCGCCACCCCGCAGUGCUGCCGAUGCCCAUUGGUGGAGGCUCCUCGAGGACAGCCAAUCGGCGCGCGGCUCUUUCAGCGGAGCGCGGAGCUGAGGGCGGGCGAUGCGCGGGGCUGCACCGCCGGCGGCAGCGCCAUGGAGCUGGGCGAUGGACUGAAGCUCAAAACUGAAGUGCUGGAUGGAAAGCCUAGGCUAAUUUUAGCUUCUUCUGAUAAAUCAAAGCCUGCCAUGAGGAUGGGUAAUAAAGCCAGAGCACCUAAACAGGCAUUGAGAAUAAAGCACACUGGGCUUAUCUUGGGGCCAACACAAAAUGCUUGUAUCAAGCAGGAAAAUUUAACAAAACUGAGGAGUGAAUCAAGCUUAUCAAUGACAAAAGGUGAAAAUCUGCAUGUUAAUAAACACUCCUCGCAUGAAGCCACAACUAAAGGUUACUCUUUGGUUUUCCAAAGAAAUAAGACAAACAGAUAUCCUGAUUCAGACGAUCCUAAUAUUGUGAAAAAAACUAAACACAAACCUCAAGCCCCACAUGUAUCAGCUGAAGACUUAAAAAGUUUGGUGUGUUUAACACAAGCACAGCUUCAACAGAUUUUGAUGAUUGUUAAAGAAGGAAGAAGCAUCUCUGAGACUCAUAAUGAAAAGCAAGAGGAAAUGGCUACUAAUGAUGCAUCAGAAGAAAAUGUUGUAGCAUCACUCGAAAAAGAUUGUGAAGUUCCAGAUGAAGCAAACUCUGAUUCAGGCAGGAAAGAAGAAGCACAUCCACAGCCAGGACAGAAAGUUAGAAAGGAUUUAUGGAAACCUGCUGACUUGUUUAGUACCUUGGGUGAAAGAGAAGGGGAGAAAGCCUUAUUGGAAUUUAAAAAGACCCAAUGGAAGAAGGAAUUAGAUGAACAGAUAGCACUGAAGAAGAAACUGAAAGAAACUGUGGAGGGAGAGGUGGGUUUUUUCUGGGCAAAACUUGGCAGUAAUAAAACCCAUAAAGUGGAAACACCUGACCCAGACCAGACAGUGUUUCCAGCUGACUCAGUUCAUGGCACUGAGGCAAGCUCUGUCUGUACAGCUGCUUUAGCCACACAGGCUGAUGGAGUUGCACUGAAUGUUCCAAGAGCUCCAGCUGGGCAGUCUUCUGACUUCAGUUCUUCUGACUUUCCAGCUGGCAGUCGCACAGCAUUGGUUUUCAGGGAAGCUGUGCCACAGGAGCAACCUUUUAGUGUUUUGAAACCUGAGCAACAGAAGAAGUGGCUUGAAGAGUUGGACAAGCAGAAAGAAGAAGCUAAACUACGAAAAAUAGAAGAAAAACUUAAUUUAUCAAAGGCAGAAGAGCAUGACAGAUGGGAAAUGCAUUUUGAUUCUUUUAAGAACCACUUUAAUGUUAAUGCACAACACCCCUUAAAUGGAAUGCGCAGAAAGCCAGAAAAUCUUUCCCUGUUACCUGACCCCAAGGACCCGACUGCUUUCAUUCACCCUUUGUCACCUGCAGCUUUAGGCAACCUCAUGCCCUUACAGAUGGUAACUGCAGAAAAAGCUGCUAAAAAUGGUGCUUUGGAGCAAAGUCAGAGAGUCAGUUUCCUCCGUUCCAUGACAGCUUUGCUGGACCCUGCACAGAUUGAGGAGAGGGACAGGAGGCGGCAGAAGCAGCUGGAACAUCAGAAAGCAAUAAUGGCUCAGGUGGAAGAAAAACGGAAGAAGAAACAACUGGAAGAAGAGCAGAGAAAAUGGGAAGAACAACAGGAAGAGCUGCGCCUGACACGACAAAAAGCACAACUGCAGAAAGAGUUUGAAGAAGAAAUGCUCAAACAAAAACAAAAGGAGGAACUUGUAACUCUUAAAGCCAAAGAGCUUUAUCAGACAAUGGAGAAAGCUCAGGAAUUAGCUGAGGGAUCAAAACAAGAACAGCACACUCCAGACUUGGCUCAGAAGGCACAUGACAUUUCAGCACUUCAGAACCAGAACAGUCUUGGUGGUGGUGAUACAGAGUUUGGAAACUGUAAUUUUGGCAUUUCAGCACAAAGUACUGAUUUCCCUGAUGGUGUGGAGAGUCCCCCUGAGCAGCAGGCUUCCCCUCGGAAGGACACUGCGGUGCAGACAGAUUGCUUUAAUACUUCAGCAUACUUUGAGUCAGCUGAGGAAAGAACUGCAUGUUGUGAAUUGCCUGAUAUUUCCAUGGAAUAUAAAGAAACCUCUAAAAGCAAAAAAUACCAGAAGGAAAUGCAGUAUAUGGAUAAAAAUAAACUUUCAGGAAAAGAGACUGGUGGUAUUUACAGUGAUCUAUAUGAGCAAUAUGCAAGAAAAGACAGACACCUUAAAUCUUCAGAAAAAUACAGCAAAAGACCUGACUGGAACAUAAACAAGCCUGGGAAAAGAUACAUUCCGGCCUCAGAAAGAUACCCUAAAGCACUACAGAAACAGAGGGAAGAGAGCAAAGUGCGCCGCCAAAUGGAGCUGCUGCAGUUGGUCGAAAGGAACAGCCCUGGGCAGCUCAGUGCGAGAAGGGAGGGGCACUCAGCCAGGUCUCUCUCACCUCGGGAAGAAACAGCUGUGAAGAGAAAGAGCCAAAGAGGCAGGAAGGAAGAAAAAUUUCACAAGAAUCACUUGAAUGCUGAAAGAUCUGAAUCACCACAGGUUCCAGCAGUUAGGAACAGAUUACUCCAAGUACAGCGGAGACAGAUCCAGGCUUCUCAUUUCCUGGUGCGUAACCACCAGGGUGGACGAGAGGACGCCCAGGCAGACUCCCAGCAGAGGAGCUCCCCCCCUGCCGUUGCCGAGGCCUUGAGACCUCCCUCGGCACAGUUCGUGCCCUACGUGCGGACACGGGAGGUUUAUUGCCUCCAUCCAGAAGCACCACUGAGCCAACCCUCAACACAUCACCCCCACGAUUCUUCCCAAAUGCCACGACAGAUUUUUAGCUCAGAUCAUGUUAGAGAUCCUCUUCUAAAUCCUGAUGUAGUUACAAUCAGAGAGAGACAAGAAGCAAUUCUCAAAGGAUUAUCAAAAUUAAGACAGGUCACAGCAGGAAUAGGAACUAGCAACAGACUCACUUUCCUCACUGAAAUCAAAAGUCAGUGGAUAAGCUGAGCAAAGUGAAUUAUUUGUGAAAAAGAAGGGCCAGAGUUUAAUAAAGAGGAGCACACCCCCCUCACCCCCAGGGCCUCCUGCAGAAGCAGAAGGAGUUGGAAAACACUCUGAUUCCCAUUGUAGCUCAAGAGAACUUCAUGCCACCGUUUUGAGAGGUGCAUAUGAAUGUUCUGAAUAUGGAAAUGCACAGCACUUUGCUACUCGAAUUAAUUAUGAGCCACCUCUUUUUUAUGAAAAUUAUGAGAAUUUUGAUAGACUAUGGGGUCAUGUUACUUUAAACUUGUGAUGGUUUGUCUCUUUAGAAUGGUUUUCAUGCUACCUGAAGACAUGUCCAUUUAAUACAAACCACCAAAAACAUAGAAGUAAACUGUUACAUGGGGUUUUGUAGAACUCAAGUGUGCGAAUUUUGAUAAAUAAAAAGAUAAGGAGGCAUUCUGAAUGGCUGUAGUCAUCUUUUGUGAAAAAUGAAUUUCACUUUCCUGGUAAAAUUUAAAAAGGUUUAAUAAAAAGACAAUAGGAGACAGAAAGCAAAGGGUCGACUGGGUGUCUUGGCAUUCAGCCAAGACACCCCUACUAUCUUGGAGAGAUUCUUUAAAUACUCUAUUACAUCAGCCUGUUGCAUAUUCACCUUUUUCAAAGAACAGUUUAGCAUGGCCACUCCUUGGGACUGCCCUUUCAGAGCACGCAUGUUUCUUGGUUGUGGUUUUAUUAUCACCUCGAGUUUGGGCUGUGGUCCACACUUUCUUCAGACAGCAGGUGCUGAUAAUUUGGUAUAUGAAUAGCAGGGUCCCCAUCACAUGUUCAUUGGAUUUAUCCCAACCAAACAGUUCAAUUACAAACAUAACAAUAUAUCAGCUAUCCGACUACCACAUCUAAGCAAAAACCAUAAAAUCUACCCUUGUAGCAGAGUUACUUUAAAAUCAUACAUAUAACAUUCAUUUUAAUAUUUGCAAAAAGCCAGUAAUAUAAUAUGGAUUUAAAACAUCGUUGUUGGCUUCUUUAACUAUACAAAACUGCUUGUAUUUCAAUAUUCAGCCAACUUUUAGGCUUAUGCAGUGAUUAUCAUCUCAAGUACUCCCAGAUUUUAAGACCACAGCUCAUCACACAAUAUGGUACAAUUCGUUGAUAAAAGGCUGUUCUUUUUUUCAGAAAAAAUCACUUGGCAUGUUUGGGGGGAGGGUAACAAGUGUUACACGAGUCUGGUACUGGUUCUCAACUUGAAUAAAUAAAUCCACUUAUAAUAAAUGUAAAGCAAAUUCCAAAUUAAUAAAUGAUUUUAUUAAUU